UACGGAGGGUGCAAGCGUUAUCCGGAUUCACUGGGUUUAAAGGGAGCGUAGGUGGGUUGGUAAGUCAGUGGUGAAAUCCCCGAGCUUAACUUGGGAACUGCCAUUGAUACUAUCAGUCUUGAAUACUGUGGAGGUUAGCGGAAUAUGUCAUGUAGCGGUGAAAUGCUUAGAUAUGAUAUAGAACACCAAUUGCGAAGGCAGCUGGCUACACAAUUAUUGACACUGAGGCUCGAAAGCGUGGGGAUCAAACAGG
rnacentral:rRNA from 1 species